rnacentral:rRNA from 1 species
AUCUACACCCAUACUGCCCUGAACACCCCAGACCUCAUCUGAUCUCGGAAGCUAAGUAGGAUCGGGCCUGCUUAGUACUUGGAUGGAAGAAA